rnacentral:rRNA from 1 species
UUAGUGAAAUCGAGUAGGACGGGACACGUGAUAUCCUGUUUGAACAUGGGGGGACCAUCCUCCAAGGCUAAAUACUCCUGACUGACCGAUAGUGAACCAGUACCGUGAGGGAAAGGCGAAAAGAACCCCUGUGAGGGGAGUGAAAUAGAACCUGAAACCGUGUACGUACAAGCAGUAGGAGCCCACUUGUUGGGUGACUGCGUACCUUUUGUAUAAUGGGUCAGCGACUUAAUUUUAGUAGCAAGGUUAACCGUUUAGGGGAGCCGUAGGGAAACCGAGUCUUAACUGGGCGAAUUAGUUGCUAGGAUUAGACCCGAAACCGAGUGAUCUAGCCAUGGGCAGGUUGAAGGUGAGGUAACACUUACUGGAGGACCGAACCGACUAAUGUUGAAAAAUUAGCGGAUGACUUGUGGCUAGGGGUGAAAGGCCAAUCAAACUCGGAGAUAGCUGGUUCUCCCCGAAAGCUAUUUAGGUAGCGCCUCGGACGAAUACUACUGGGGGUAGAGCACUGUUAAGGCUAGGGGGUCAUCCCGACUUACCAACCCUUUGCAAACUCCGAAUACCAGUAAGUAAUAUCCGGGAGACACACGGCGGGUGCUAACGUCCGUCGUGAAGAGGGAAACAACCCAGACCGCCAGCUAAGGUCCCAAAGUUAUAGCUAAGUGGGAAACGAUGUGGGAAGGCUCAGACAGCCAGGAUGUUGGCUUAGAAGCAGCCAUCAUUUAAAGAAAGCGUAAUAGCUCACUGGUCGAGUCGGCCUGCGCGGAAGAUUUAACGGGGCUAAGCUAUACACCGAAGCUGCGGCAAUGUGAAUUUAUUCACAUUGGGUAGGGGAGCGUUCUGUAAGCCGUUGAAGGUGCAUUGUAAAGUGUGCUGGAGGUAUCAGAAGUGCGAAUGCUGACAUGAGUAACGAUAAAGGGAGUGAAAAACUCCCUCGCCGGAAGAUCAAGGGUUCCUGUCCAACGUUAAUCGGGGCAGGGUAAGUCGACCCCUAAGGCGAGGCCGAAAGGCGUAGUCGAUGGGAAACGGGUUAAUAUUCCCGUACUUCUUAUAAUUGCGAUGGAGGGACGGAGAAGGCUAGGUGAGCCUGGCGACGGUUGUCCAGGUCCAAGUAUGUAGGCUGAUG